rnacentral:rRNA from 1 species
CGGAUCUCGAAAGCCUGUCCCAGUUCGGAUUGGAGGCUGAAACCCGCCUCCAUGAAGUUGGAUUCGCUAGUAAUCGCGCAUCAGCCAUGGCGCGGUGAAUACGUUCCCGGGCCUUGUACACACCGCCCGUCAAGCCAUGGGAGCCGGGGGUGCCUGAAGUUCGUGACCGCAAGGAGCGACCUAGGGCAAAACUGGUGACUGGGGCUAAGUCGUAACAAGGUAUC